rnacentral:rRNA from 1 species
GAUGAACGCUGGCGGCGUGCCUAAUACAUGCAAGUCGAGCGAACGGACGAGAAGCUUGCUUCUCUGAUGUUAGAGGCGGACGGGUGAGUAACACGUGGAUAACCUACCUGUAAGACUGGGAUAACUUCGGGAAACCGGAGCUAAUACCGGAUAAUAUUUUGAACCGCAUGGUUCAAAAGUGAAAGACGGUCUUGCUGUCACUUAUAGAUGGGUCCGCGCUGCAUUAGCUAGUUGGUAAGGUAACGGCUUACCAAGGCAACGAUGGAUAGCCGACCUGAGAGGGUGAUCGGCCCCACUGGAACUGAGACACGGCCCAGACUCCUACGGGAGGCAGCAGUGGGGAAUUUUCCGCAAUGGGCGAAAGCCUGACCGGGCCACGCCGCGUGGAGGAUGAAGGGCUUCGGGUUGUAAAACGCUUUUGUUAGGGAAGAAAAGCUUUGUUAGUAAACGGGCACAUCAUGACGGUACCGUAAGAAUAAGCCCCGGCUAACUACGUG